rnacentral:tRNA from 2 species
GUGGGUGUAGCUCAGUUGGUAGAGCUCUGGCUUGUGGUGCCAGUGGUCGUGGGUUCGAGCCCCAUCACCCACCCCA